rnacentral:sRNA from 1 species
CCCCAUGUGAAUACUCGCAACUCGCAACCUGUAACCCCCAGCAAAAAACCACAAAGCAACGAGGAGAACAUGAACUCGCAAUUCAACUGCCAACAAGUUUAUAACUUUUUUCGGCACGCUCGGCUGCCGGAUUGAUUCGAUUAAAACGUCAACAGUGGCAGGCAGGCAGUCAGACUGGCAGGCUGGCUGGGGCUGGCUGGCAACUGGAAAUGAAGCUGAAGCUGAAGCUAAGGAAAAACAAUUCACCACACAGACACACGCACGCUCGCUUGGGAGAGGAUACAUAUACGAAGGUCCUGUCAUAUCCAUCUCGAUCUCGUUGCCUGCAAAGUUGUCACACCAAAUUUUGCUUUACUUUUAUUUUGUCAUCUUCGGCUCGUGUCUGUUGUUUAUCCAGCCUUGAUGUCGUCGCACACUCGCAGCAGCCCUUUUGACAUUUUGCCUCAGCCGCAGGCAGGGCGGUGUCAGGAGGGUCUGAGGUCAGGGCACGCCAGGCCUUAGCCUGUCAUGUCGUUUGAUCUUUUAUUGUGUUUGUUUUACGAGGCGCAGUAAAUCCCUUUUAAAUUGCAAAUUCUUUAUGCUCGCAUUUUCGGCUCACGCAUAAACACCCUGCCAGAAAAAGCCCUCCCUCUGAAAGCCCCCGAAUCCUACUCAUAUGCAGAAGGGAGAUAAGUGAAAGUGACUGAGUCCUGUCGCCAACGACGCGUUGUCACUUGGAUAUAUUUUUCACCUACCACACCCACGCUCCAACGCCAACGCCCACGGCAGUGCUGGCCCAGUUUGCUGGCCAUUCGCCAGCCACCCCUGCCUGUUGUGAAUGUGGAAUCCUUGUCGGAGUCGUUUGCAGCUCAUGAUUCACUUUCGAUUGAUUUGCUGGCGGUGUCCAUUCGGUUAAUUGAAAUACAAAACUGUUUAUGUGCUCUAAAGUUUUUCCCCAAGUCCAGGCCCCGAAAUUGAUGAUGAGCCAUAAACAAAAAUUACAAAAAAUGAGCUGGACAAAAAGGUUGCGUGCCAUUCGGAGGGUCAAAGUGUAAUUAACUUCGUCGCUAGCCUUCAUUUGCAGCCCAUCAAGGAGAUGAAGGAGCGAAUUAGGAGAACCGAAUACGGAAUGUGGGCUAAGGAUUACAGUAUACGGAAUCCGGUAGAACAAAAGAAACAAAACAAGGGCCGCAAUCCCCAGCAUUUCAACGCCUAUUACAACUGCAAAUGAACCCAUAAACCCAUUUAAGCAAUGCCCGAAACACGGAAAACUUUUCCACCACGACGCCGGCGACGACAAAGGGCAUUUCCCGAAGCAGCGAACAAAUCCAGGGGGCGUAGGUUCCGUCCAGCCUUUCUGAUUAUUGCUCAGCACUUGAAAAGUUUUCUUUGGGCGGCGGCUUACUGCCUGCCAGAACUUUACUUACACCUAAAGCUCCCGCCAGACCUCACCCACCUCACCGAAAACCCUAAAAACCUACAAGGCAAGGCCAGCACUUUGAAUAAGAGAUAAAACUGUUACGUGCCUCGUGUCUGACUGAAUGGAGAAAUAUUUCUCUUAUCGCAGUGAAAAGAUGUUUCGUGCCCUGCGUGUUUACCUUGGACGUAGUUGUUGCUGUUGCCCAUGCUUUUUCCUAUCCCGGUCCUAACCUGGUCCUAACACUGGUCAAAAAAGGACUUUGUAAGAGCCAUUCAUCAAGCAAAUAGCACAGUAUGCAUUCAUCUAUGGAAUUAUUCAAAAGAUCCUUUAAAUGUAUAUUGAAAUGCUACCCAAUAGAUAUUCAUUUCACAACA